rnacentral:rRNA from 1 species
CCUACGGGUGGCAGCAGUGGGGAAUAUUGGACUAUGGGCGAAAGCCUGAUCCAGCCAUGCCGCGUGUGUGAAGAAGGCCUUCGGGUUGUAAAGCACUUUCAGUGGGGAAGAAAGCCUUGGGGCUAAUACCCUCGAGGAAGGACAUCACCCACAGAAGAAGCACCGGCUAACUCCGUGCCAGCAGCCGCGGUAAUACGGAGGGUGCGAGCGUUAAUCGGAAUUACUGGGCGUAAAGCGCGCGUAGGCGGUCUGAUAAGCCGGUUGUGAAAGCCCCGGGCUCAACCUGGGAACGGCAUCCGGAACUGUCAGGCUAGAGUGCAGGAGAGGAAGGUAGAAUUCCCGGUGUAGCGGUGAAAUGCGUAGAGAUCGGGAGGAAUACCAGUGGCGAAGGCGGCCUUCUGGACUGACACUGACGCUGAGGUGCGAAAGCGUGGGUAGCAAACAGGAUUAGAUACCCGUGUAGUC